GGGGCCCGGGCCCGGCGGGGGCUGCCGCCCGCGGCCCGCCCCGGCGCUGCCCCGCUCCGCUCUUCUGUUCGGGGUUUGACCCGCUCCCGCUUCCCCGCCGCCGCCUCCCGCUGCAGCCGGGCAGCCGCGGCGGAGCGGGACGAGCCCCGGGCAGCCGGGAACGACCGGGCUGGGCCCCGUUCUGCGGCGGGGAGUCUCGGGGGAGGCGGCCCCGGCGCUGGCAGCGGCCUGGGACACGCUUCGCUCACCGCAAACACUUUGUGUCCCGCUCUUCCCCCGCCCCGCGUUAUUUCCUUCAUGCUGUUGUGUUUAAACGCUGCUUGAUGCGGUCCCAUGGCGGGGGAGGGGGAGGGAAGUUCAGCCCCAGAGAGGGGUGACAACAGCUCAAAGGGCUCCUGGAGCCCUCCCGGGUCAGGAAUUGCUUCGGUAGUGCCGUGUCCCUCUGUCCUGGGUGGGCUCCCUUUGGCCAGGGUUCUUUUUGGGGUGGGAGGUUGCCACUUUGGCUCAUCCUCUGUUGCUGCUGCUUUUCCCUCACGGGUGUGUGAGCACGUUUGGGAGAAGCAAACACAGAGCUGUGGUGAACAGUUGGUUGCCCCACAGGUUCUCAUCUGAGUCAGGUGUUUUCAGUGAUAUAAAGGGCUUUGAAUUCCCUACAGGAAGCCCCAUGAGGGCCAUCAGUGGGAGGGGGCUCUUGGUCAGUGCUGUCUGCUCCUUGGGUUCAUGUGGUGGGCACAGCUCUUUGCUCCUCUUCCCACUGGGUGUGGUUGAACUUGUCCUACCCUCACCUCUGUGUGUCCCUCUGAACUCCCUCCAUUGGGGUUUUAUCUGUACUUGCAAGUCUAAUCCUCCCUUGUGAAUGCUUGUGGCAGGCAGGAAGGUGACAAAAGGAGUUGUGUUGGUGAUUUGUCAGGGGCCCUGUGGGCAGUGGUGGAAGCGGCCAGCGCCGGCGCCUCGGUUCUCUGCCUGUGUGAGAAGGGAGAUGCCAAGGUCACGGAAGAGACAGGCAAGAUGUCCAAGAAGGAAAAAGAAAUGAAAACAGGAAAGUGCCGGGUCCUUGUUGCUGUUCCGAGGGUGGUGUUUCUCACAGAGCCUGCGGCAGCUGAUCUUCAGGAUGCUGCAGGAGAUCUGCAGCCUACUGGCAGUACCUCCUAGAUUACCUGCUGCUCGGGGGCUUCGUGGCCUUGGGGGUGUGCUCCAGGAACGGCCCAGUGGAGAACCAGCGCAGCAUCUGUCGCCUCUGCUGGGGCCUGCAGCUCCUGCUCACGGCUCAGGCAUCCAGCUCCAUUCUGUGUCCUUGCCCGUGCUGCUCACUGUCGCCUGCACCGAGAACAUUGAGCAUGUGGCCUCUUGGGCUUCCGCUGCCCACAGGGGAGAACUCUCAGCGCCCUGGCUGGCUCCUGAUGCCCCUCUGGCUUUACAGAUGGGGAGAGGGGGGCACAGGAGCUGGGGGGUGUGUGGAAGCCGGGCGUGCUGGGGUGGAAGGGCAGAUACUGCUUGUGGAUUCAAGUCUGUUUCUGGUUUUAA